rnacentral:rRNA from 1 species
UACGGAAUGUGCAAACGUUAUUCGGAAUCACUGGGCUUAAAGAGUCCGUAGGCGGCAUGUUAGGUGAGGUGUGAAAUCCCCCGGCUCAACCGAGGAAUUGCGCUUCAAACCGGCGUGCUUGAGGAAGAUAGAGGUGGGCGGAACUGAUGGUGGAGCGGUGAAAUGCGUUGAGAUCGGAAAGAACACCAACGGCGAAAGCACUCUGCUGGGCCGACACUGACACUGAGAGACGAAAGCUAGGGGAGCAAAUGGG